GUACGGAAGGCAGCAGUGAGGAAUAUUGGACAAUGGGCGCAAGCCUGAUCCAGCCAUGCCGCGUGCAGGAAGACGCAUCUAUGGUGUGUAAACUGCUUUUGUACGGGAAGAAACACCCCCUCGUGAGGGGGCUUGACGGUACCGUAAGAAUAAGGAUCGGCUAACUCCGUGCCAGCAGCCGCGGUAAUACGGAGGAUCCAAGCGUUAUCCGGAAUCAUUGGGUUUAAAGGGUCCGUAGGCGGUUUGGUAAGUCAGUGGUGAAAGCCCAUCGCUCAACGAUGGAACGGCCAUUGAUACUGCCAGACUUGAAUUACUGGGAAGUAACUAGAAUAUGUAGUGUAGCGGUGAAAUGCUUAGAUAUUACAUGGAAUACCAAUUGCGAAGGCAGGUUACUACCGGUGGAUUGACGCUGAUGGACGAAAGCGUGGGGAGCGAACAGGAUUAGAUACCCGAGUAGUCC
rnacentral:rRNA from 1 species